UACGUAGGGUGCAAGCGUUAAUCGGAAUUACUGGGCGUAAAGCGUGCGCAGGCGGUUUUGUAAGACAGGCGUGAAAUCCCCGGGCUCAACCUGGGAAUGGCGCUUGUGACUGCAAAGCUGGAGUGGGGCAGGGGGGGAUGGAAUUCCCCGGGUAGCACUGAAAUGCGUAGAUAUGCGGAGGAACACCGAUGGCGAAGGCAAUCCCCUGGGCCUGCACUGACGCUCAUGCACGACAGCGUGGGGAGCAAACAGG
rnacentral:rRNA from 1 species